AAGUCGUAACAAGGUUUCCGUAGGUGAACCUGCGGAAGGAUCAUUAACACGUAUCCAACGUAAAAAACCCCCCUGUGAACAUUCAAACCUGCUCUCGUAGCCCAGUGCGAUCCAGCAAUCCCGGUAAAUCAUUGUCGAACAGUAUUGAUUCGGGACUUCUGACAAAUGAGAAGUUACAGUUACGAUUGAGCGGAGAUAGCUGCAUGGCAUCCCGAAGCAGUCAGUGUCUGAAAGUGUCAUUGAUUGUCUAAGGAUCUCGCCUCGAACAACUGUUAACAAUGGAUAUCUUGGUUCUC
rnacentral:misc_RNA from 1 species